UGCAUAUCAUUCAUAUUGCUGUUGAGAUGGCCCCAAUUGCAAAGGUAAGCUUAACCUAUUUGCAUGGAGCUUUAAAUUGGUUAUUCUAGGAAAUCAUAAAUAAGAGGUUGCCUUGUGUAUAGCUGAUCUUCAAUUUUAAGAUUUCCGCAUCCCAUUUUUUCCCUUACAUUAUGAUUUAUGAUCUGUUAUUUCACUUGUUAUGUAUGCUAACAUUUUAAUUUUUAGAAGGUUGAUUCAUUGUUGUUAUGAUCUCCAAUUAUUUUCAAUGAUCGUAAGAUAUUUCAACUUAUAGUACUCAUACUUAAGCUAUGGAACGCAGACUGAGUUAAGAUGGCCACUUAGGUCUUGCAGCUAAAUUUUAUUAAACACAACAUAAUAAUAUAUAGUAUGUAAACUAAAUUCUUUCUUUGUAAUUAUGUUUGUGUCCAUGUAGAGUAUUUCCUCAAAAUUUAUGGAAGCGUUCGAUAAUCGGCCUCUCAGUAAGAUUAAAGGGACCGGUAAGAAUCGAUUUUGUACUCCAAGUUAUCAAUUUAAAUUCAUACUUGCUAAUUGUUUGUUGAAAAUGUAUAAUAGGACUUUUUAAGGCUGGUGCAUUCACUAAAUAUAUGGAAUGAAGUGACCUAAUACAAGUUGAUUUCUGCAAAAUAUAUUUUUGUUUCACCCUAAUAUUAGCUUGGGAUUUCAUUGNNNNNNNNNNGGAUACAAACUUUCUUUAUUAUAUCACCAAAUUUGACCUUAUGCAAUUUGUUUGAUAUUUUUUAUAAGGCAAACAUAUGUUUCAUCUUGUAGGAAUGCAUGAAAGGUUUUUGGGGCUCUUUAUUUUAUUUUUUUUAUAUAGACUAUUGAUUAAAAAUUAACUUGUUGAAUGCCUCAACUUUUGUGCAGGUAUGUAGUCAUGGUACCAAGAAUGUAUAUCAUGGAGCAUGUAGAUUAGAGGCUUCUAGUUUGAUACAUACAUGAUUUAAUUUAUUUUCUAUAGGAGGUUUAUUUAUUUUGUAAUACUGACUUUGAAGAAAAAAGCAUUUGUUAAAGCCUUGUUUAAUAUUAUGGAGCAUGUGUGCAUGUUUAAUUCUUUGUUGUGUAUACUGUUUUAGAGAUAAUUUAAAUUAGAUUUGAAAAAUUGUUUCAAGGGAUU
rnacentral:lncRNA from 1 species